rnacentral:rRNA from 1 species
AUUACCGCGGCUGCUGGCACAGAGUUAGCCGGUGCUUAUUCUGUCGGUAACGUCAAAACAGCAAAGUAUUAAUUUACUGCCCUUCCUCCCAANUUAAAGUGCUUUACAAUCCGAAGACCUUCUUCACACACGCGGCAUGGCUGGAUCAGGCUUUCGCCCAUUGUCCAAUAUUCCCCACUGCUGCCUCCCGUAGG